GAGAACUUGGAACACUUAUGUUAGCAUCUGGUGUAACAACAUAGGAACAUGUAUGAAGUUUGGGGGACCCCACCUGGCUUAGCAUUCAGAGACUACCUCUGGGUUUAACCGGCCUGAUUCUGGAUGAUCAUUCUGGUGGUAUGGGGAAGAUGGUGUGGGGAGGGGGAGAGACAGCCAAAGGUCAACACCCUAUGCCCUUCAGAGUGGUCAGCCUCACAGACCACUCUGAGAGAAUGGGUAGCCAUGUCUGUACUACAUACUGGAGACAUGACUGUGGAAUGGAAGUUUCAAAACUAAGUCAGAGAACCCUCUGAUCCUGCAAACACACAUGCACACACACAGAGACAUCAACCAUCUCUAAUUUGUUGGCACCCACCAGGGAUACCUUGGGCAUCUGAAGUCAGUCUCCAUGUCUGUGGGUCUCGUGUAACCAUAACUACUUGGAGUUUUUUAAAACUGCAUUAUUUCUUUGUUCCUCAGUGUCUGACAAUGCCUGCCAGGAUGGGCACUGAUGAAUAUGGUUGAACGGAACUCCAAGGACCACCCAGGUUGAUAGUAGUGAGUUUGUGUACAGAAGACUGCAAUGAAUUGAAGUCAUGAGACAUACAGCCAGGAUCCUGAAAGCCACCAACAUAUGUCACCUGCCUGGGAGGCUUGCUUCGAUGGUCAUCUUGUUCUGCCUGCUAAGACCAGGAGUCACAGCUGUUGACAUCAUGGUGAAUAAAAACAUUUUCUG
rnacentral:lncRNA from 1 species